CCAGAGGCCGGCCCCAGUACUAGGUCUCCAGAUGCAGCCUCACUAGGACCUCGUCAGGAACCAGUUCUGCAAAGAGCAGAAGGGAGAGGAACGUCAUCAAGCACCUCUGAAACUGGCAGAGCAAAUCUCCCACAAAAGUUGCGCCUUGAA